rnacentral:tRNA from 1 species
GGGCGCAUGGUCCAGCGGGACGACGGCACCCUCACGAGGUGCAGAUCGAGGUUCGACUCCUCGUGUGCCUA